UCCGGUUGAUCCUGCCGGAGGCCACUGCUAUGGGGGUCCGACUAAGCCAUGCGAGUCAUGGGGCGCCUUGCGCGCACCGGCGGACGGCUCAGUAACACGUCGGUAACCUACCCUCGGGAGGGGGAUAACCCCGGGAAACUGGGGCUAAUCCCCCGUAGGCCUGAGGUACUGGAAGGUCCUCAGGCCGAAAGGGUCUUUGACCGCCCGAGGAUGGGCCGGCGGCCGAUUAGGUAGUUGGUGGGGUAACGGCCCACCAAGCCGAAGAUCGGUACGGGCCAUGAGAGUGGGAGCCCGGAGAUGGACACUGAGACACGGGUCCAGGCCCUACGGGGCGCAGCAGGCGCGAAACCUCCGCAAUGCUCGAAAGAGCGACGGGGGGACCCCCAGUGCCGUGGCAUCGCCACGGCUUUUCCGGAGUGUAAAGAGCUCCGGGAAUAAGGGCUGGGCAAGGCCGGUGGCAGCCGCCGCGGUAAUACCGGCGGCCCGAGUGGUGGCCGCUAUUAUUGGGCCUAAAGCGUCCGUAGCCGGGCCAGUAAGUCCCUGGCGAAAUCCCACGGCUCAGCCGUGGGGCUUGCUGGGGAUACUGCUGGCCUUGGG
rnacentral:rRNA from 1 species